CAGUAGUCAGUCAUUUAUUUUUUCCACUGCACACACACACUGACAUUGAGCUCUCUGCUGUCUGUCUGGGUGUAAUUUAACGAAGGCCCACAAAGCAUUCUGGUAAAGAGAAGUGCUGUGGCCCCAACGUCUUUUCUCCUUACAAGGUGGUGUGUCCAACAAUGGUGCCAGGAAUAAGUGUAAAAGAAAUAAGAAGUGAAUCCCUACAAACUCACACACAACCCUAAGUGACAUAGAGAUUAGUCAGCCAAGGGGUGCACUCAGAGAUGAUUUAGGUAUGCGGUCAGAGAUAACAGAAUGAGAACAACAGUUUGAACCGGUUGCGACAGAGCCUGAGUACCUUGUUUUUUAUGUAUGAUUUCUUACAUUGUUAGCCAGGAAAAUCUCAAGUGUUAUUACAUUCAGCCUGGAAGAACUACUGGAUAUAAAAGCGACGUCAAGUUACCAACAUUAUGACCAGGAAUAUGACUUUCCUGAAGCAGAUACUUUGUUCGGACCUCCACCCUGGACAUGGGAUCUUACCCCAAAGGCCGACACAAAACAAUGCGGUCGCCGCAGGAGAGGCAGAUGGAGCGGCCUAUUGGUCACAUUUAGAAGGCGAGCACACCAUCCACCGCUUCUGAGCAUAUUACUUGCCGAUGUCCAAUCUCUAGAUAACAAGGUGGACGAAAUUAGGGCUUCCAGAGAGACAUCAGAGAAUGUAACAUUCUCUGUUUCACAGAAACAUGGCUCACUUGGGAUAUGUUGUCAGAGUCGGUACAGCCAACUGGUUUCUUCACGCAUCGCGUCGAUAGAAAUAAACAUCUCUCUGGUAAGAAGAAGGAAGGCGGUGUAUCCCUUAUGAUUAAAGACUCAUGGUGUAAUCAUAACAACAUUCAGGAACUCAAGUUAUUUUGUUCACCUGACCUACAAUUCCUUACAAUCAAAUGCAGACCGCAUUAUCUACCAAGAGAAUUCUCUUUGAUUAUAGUCACAGCCGUGUAUAUCCCCCCAAGCAGAUACCUCGACGGCCCUGAAAGAACUUCACUGGACUAUGUAAACUGGAAACCAUGUAUCCCGAGGCUGCAUUUAUUGUAGCUGGGGAUUUUAACAAAGCUAAUCUGAGAACAAGGCUUCCUAAAUUCUAUCAGCAUAUUGAAUAUGCGGCACAAACUGGUAGCUUUCUGGACCAUUGCUACUCUAACUUCCGCAAUGCAUACAAAGCCCUUCCCCGCCCUCCCUUCGGCAAAUCUGAUCAUGACUCCAUUUUGUUGCUCCCAGCCUAUAGACAGAAACUAAAACAGGAAACGCCUGUGCUCAGGUCUAUUAAACACUGGUCUGACCAAUCGGAUUCCAUGCUUCAAGAUUGCUUCGAUCACGUGGACUGGGAUAUGUUCCGGGUAGCCUCAGACAACAACAUUGACGUAUACACUGACUCGGUGAGCAAGUUUGUUAGCAAGUGCAUCGGUGAUGUUGUACCCACUGUGACUAUUAAAACCUUCCCUAAACAGAAACUGUGGAUUGAUGGCAGCAUUCGCGCAAAACUGAAUGUGCAAACCAUUGCUUUUAAUCAUGGCUAGGCAACUGGAAUCAUGACCAAAUACAAACAGUGUAACUAUUGCCUCCGCAAGGCAAUCAAACAAGCAAAGUGUCAGUAUAGAGACAAAGUAAAGUCGCAAUUCAACAGCUCAAACACAAGACGUAUGUGGCAGGGUCUACAGUCAAACACGGAUUACAAAAAGAAAACCGGACAUCGAUGUCUUGCUCCCAGACAAAUUAAACAACUUCUUUGCUCGCUUUGAGGACAAUACAGUGCCACUGACAGAGCCCGCUACCAAAGCUUUGAGAGACUAGUCAAGCAUCACCUCCACCCUACCUGUCACCCUAGACCCAAUUUGCUUACCUCCCCAAUAGGUCCACAGACGAUGCAAUCACCAUCACACUGCACACGGCCCUAUCCCAUCUGGACAAGAGGAGUACCUAUGUAAGAAUGCUGUUCAUUGACUACAGCUCAGCAUUUAACACCAUAGUACCCUCCAAACUCGUCAUUAAGCUUGAGACUCUGGGUCUCGACCCCGCCCUGUGCAAUUGGGUCCUAGACUUCCUGCGGGCCGCCCCCAGGUGGUGAGGGUAAGAAACAAUAUCUCCACCCCGCUGAUCCUCGACACUGGGGCCCCACAAGGGUGCGUUCUCAGCCCUCUCCUGUACUCCUUGUUCACCCAUGACUGCGUGGCCAUGCACGCCUCCAACUCACUCAAUGUCAACAAAACAAAGGAGAUGAUCGUGGACUUCAAGAAAUAGCAGAGGGAGACGGGACACUAGUGGAGAAGGUGGAAAGUUUUAAGCUCCUCGACGUACACUUCACAGACAAACUGAAAUGGUCCACCCACACAGACAGCGUAGUGAGGAAGGCGUAACAACACCUCUUCAACCUCAGGAGGCAGAAGUAAUUUAGCUUGUCAACUAAAACCCUCACAAACUUUUAUAUAUGCACAAUCAAGAGCAUCCUGUUGGGUUGUAUCAUCGCCUGGUACGGCAACUGCUCCGCCCACAACCGUAAGGCUCUCCAGAGGGUAGUGAGGUCUUCACAAUGCAUCAUCGGGGUAAAACUACCUGCCCUCCAGGACACCUACAGCACCCAAUGUCACAGGAAGGCCAAAAAGAUCAUCAAGGACAACAACCACCCGAGCCACUGCCUGUUCACACCACUAUCAUCCAGAAGACGAGGUCAGUACAGGUGCAUCAAAGCUGGGACCGAAAGACUGACAAACAGCUUAUCUCUAACAUAGAGAGGCUGCUGCCAACAUACAGGCACAAAUCUGUGGCCACUAAAUUUAAUAAAUGGAUUUAAUAAAGGUAUCGCUAGUAACUUUAAAUAACGGCACUUUAAUAAUGUCUACAAAUCCUACAUUACCUAUCUCAUAUUUAUAUACUGUAUUCUAUACCGUAUAUACAUAUGGUAUAGAAUAUGCAUCUUGCCUAUGCCCCACGGCCAUCGCUCAUCCAUAUAUUUAUAUGUGCAUAUUCUUAUUCAUCCCUUUACAUUUGUGUGGAUAAGGUAGUGUUUGUGAAUUUGUUAGAUUACUUGUUAGAUAUUACUGCACUGUCGGAACUAGUUGCUACACUCACAUUAACAUCUGCUAACCAUGUGACCAAUAAAAUUUGAUUUGAUGACACUGGGCCAAAAGGGACUCCAGAUCACGGCUGGUUGUGAUACAGCCUGGGAUCGAACCAGGGUCUGUAGUGACGCCUCUAGCAUUGAGAUGCAGUGCCUUAGACCGCUGCGCCACUUGGGAGCCCCAGAGACUAUAAUGAUGUGUAAUGAGCUGAGAUAAUGGAAAAGCACAUUAACAAAUCAAAUACAUUCAGCAGCUUCUUGGAAUCCAAUGUGAUUGUUAAGUUCUUUCCACAAACUCUACAACUUAAUUCAUCUUCCUUAUUUACCCAUAAUUCCCUCCUUCGAGUCAGGAAAUCACACAAUUAUACCAAGUAAGAAUUUCAUUUUUUUUUUGCAAAGAACAUUAAGGAUAAUUUAUUAAGAACUUCAAAUUAUGCCAGGUGCAGCAAACAAAAGCCAGUCCAGUUCAUUUUUUAAAUCAAGUGGCAAUAUUCAAAGUAGUACAUUCAACCAAAAGAAUGAGAGGAAAUUAAUAAAAAGAAAUGUGAGAAUGUUGAUAAAAGAUCUCUGAGGGAUUAGAGGGGUGUGUAUGUGUACGUGUAUGUGUAUGUGUGUGUGUGUGUGUAUGUGUGUGUGUGUGUGAGGAAGAUUCACAGAUACCAGUAAGAGGGGCAACAGGAAGAAGUGACAUGGUACUCUGGUUCUUAUAGUUGUAGGCUUUGUUUCAUGGUUAUCUUGCUUCUGGCGAACAGUGGGAGACUGAGUGCUCUUGGUAUAUUGCAUCUUUUCACAUAUAAAGUUGUUGCAUUCAGACAAGGGAAUUACAGCAGAGUCUGUGUGUAUACAAGUGUGUUUUAAUGUGUGUCUGUGUAUGUGUGUGUUUUUAGAUGCAUGUGUGUGUGUUUAGAUGUGUGUUUGUGUGUGCACCAGAGCCACGGCAUUACUUUGGUGUCACCUCACCGCCCAGCACAUAGGGAAUUGUGGGUAGUUUUAAUUAAGCACUGCUGUGGCGGUAGAGGCUAAUGUGGGUUAAACACAGCCCAAUUCUCCUCUCCCAGCUUUACUCUCUAAUCUGUGAAGAUUACACUAUAGCUCUCCAAUGAGACAGUUUACAGCAGUCUGUUGUUGCCUCCUAGUUCUGUAUGCAGGGCCUGUAGUGUCUAGAUGUUCAACAGAAAGCCUGUAGUGUCUAAAUGUUCAACAGAAAGCCUGUAGUGUCUAGAUGUUCAACAGAAAGCCUGUAGUGUCUAAAUGUUCAACAGAAAGCCUGUAGUGUCUAGAUGUUCAACAGAAAGCCUGUAGUGUCUAAAUGCUCAACAGAAAGCCUGUAGUGUCUAGAUGUUCAACAGAAAGCCUGUAGUGUCUAAAUGUUCAACAGAAAGCCUGUAGUGUCUAAAUGUUCAA
ensembl:lncRNA